AUACAUUUAACAACCAGACUGUACCAAAAUAAAUAAAUAUAGAGGCUGUCAUCAGCAUUAAUGUAAUUGUCUUUAAAUAUUAGAAGUAAUCUGUGAUCUGAGUUAACACGGAGGACUCGUUGACAGAAUGACAGUUGACUUGAUCGGAAAUAAAGCCACUGCGAGUUGUGCUGCAAAGCUUUCAAUCUCUCAUAGCUAAUCAUCACAUCACUCAUUACAGAGAGACUGAUAACAGUGAGAGAUGGCUUCCGUCGUAUUAGCUUCUCUCAAGGCAACAAUGGAGUUUGAGAUUCAGCAGCCCAGCCCCCGGGUGCUCCCCGAUGACCUAAUACAGAUGGGAUCUCUCAUUCAACAUCUUUCUACCUUGCAAGCCUUCAUGAAGAAAUUCCACAUCAAAGCCUUCGAGGAUGCCAAAAUCAAAAGUGUGGAGAACCAAAUCAAACACGUUUCUCUUAAAGCAGAAGACAAGAUUGAGAUUCAACUCAGAAACGUUCUCCUGGCGGUAGGCGAAAAGCGGAAAGAAGACGCUCGCAGAGAGAUCCAUGGAAUCCUGGAGGAAAUCAGAAAAGACAUAGACAAAUUGUUGGAGACCGUGAAGCAGCACGAUAGCUCGUUAGCUGAUUGCUCGCAAUUUCUUCCCGACCAGGACACUAUCCCUCUCACGCCGCGUAAGGAAGAAAUGGUGGGAAACCGUGAGGAGUUGGAGCAGAUAAUUAAGCAACUCAAAUGCAAGACUGAAGAACGACAAAUUAUCUCAAUUUCUGGAAUGGGAGGCAUCGGCAAGACGACUUUAGCAAGAACAAUCUAUGAUGAUCCAGUUACAAAUCAUUUUGAUGUUCGUGCUUGGACUACAAUGUCACAACAAUAUGAGGGGAAACAAACUCUCAUUGCCCUUCUUCGAUGCAUUACGACCUUGACCCCCGAAGAAAUUAAGACGUCAACCAAGGAGGAUUUAGCAGAUCGAUUACAAAAGCUGUUGAAGGGAAGAAGGUAUCUAAUUGUUGUGGAUGAUGUAUGGAGUGUUGAAGCUUGGGAUGAUAUCAAACGUUGUUUUCCGAAUGAAAUUAAUAAUAAGGGGAGCAUCUUAUUAUUGACUACUCGAGACAAAAAGGUGGCUAAGUAUACUCAUUCAGGUAACUCACCUUAUGGCUUGAAACUUUUAAAUGAAGUGGAUAGUUGGGUUCUAUUUUCUAGAAACCUUGAUUUUGAAAUACGCUUUCCAAAAUCACUGGGUUAUGAGGACGUUGGGAAGAAAAUCGCUAAACAAUGCCAAGGAUUACCCCUUUCCAUUGUUGUAGUUGUGGGGAUUCUGCUCAGUAAAGGAUCAUUGGGUGAAUGGGAGAAAAUUCGAGAAGAAUUAGCAUUGAUAUUAACAGUUGAUGAACAAUGUACAAAAAUUCCAGCUUUGAGUUACAAACACUUGCCUCUGCAUUUGAAACCUUGUUUUCUACAUUUGGGAGUCUUUCCAGAAGACAGUGAGAUGCCUGCCAAAAAGCUUGUUAGGUUGUGGAUUGCCGAGGGGUUUGUGAAAGUAGGUAAUGGCAAGGCAUUGAAAGACAUGAAAAAAGCAUUGGAUGAGAUGGAAAAGACAGUAGUGGAAGACAUGGACAAUACAUUGGUAAUGGACAAGGCAUUGCAAGGCAUGGACAACACAUUGAAAGAUAUGGGCAGGGCAUUAGAAGACACAGCUCUCGAGUACUUACAAGCUCUUAUUAGUAAAAGCUUGAUUCUCAUUCGCAAUCAGAGCUCUAAUGGUGAAGUCAAGACAUGCAGAAUGCAUGAUCUCUUGCAUGACUUUUGUGUGAACAAAGCUGAAGAUGAGAACCUUUUGUAUGCUGGUAGCAUGAGAAGAUUUAGAACAGUGAAGAAUUUAAAUGAUGGUGGAAGUACAAGCAAUGAUGAUGGAAGUAAAAGCAAUGAUGGUGGAAGUACAAGCAAUGAUGAUGGAAGUAAAAGGAAUGAUGAUGGAAGUAAAAGCAAUGAUGAAAGUACAAGCAACGGUGGAAGUGUAAAGCACGAAGGAUUUCGUUGGUUGAGUUUUUGGCCAAAUUAUGGAAAUGUUUAUAUUUGCUAUAAUUUGGACAAAUCUCGCUCCCUAUCUUUUCUGCAUAGAGAUGCUAUUCCAACACUUAUUGGCCAGUGUUUACCGUCUAACUUGUUAAGAGUGUUGGAUUUGAUUGAAUUACCACCAUUAUCUAAUGAAAUUUUCAUGAGUUUAAGGGAUCUAGUUCUUCUGAGGUACAUGGAUAUAGCCUUGGAUGACUGUCUAAGUCCUGAAGAGCUCGUGGAUGUUGUUUCUAAGACUCAAAAUUUGCAAACACUUAUUAUUUCUCAGAAUGGAACGGGCUUCAGUGAUAUGUGUUUGCCAUCUAAACUUUUGAAGUCACCACAGCUGAGGCAUGUUGAGGUUAGCUAUGCUCUUUCAGUGGAUCCUCCAAGAAAGGUCAAAGAGGCCUUGCACACAUUGUACUGGUUGAGUCUAGACCAUUGUACCAAGGAAGUCUUUUCCAGGAUUCCAAAUGUAAAAAAGUUGGGGAUUAUUUGUGGAUCUAAGCCAAGUCCAAAGGCCAUAGAGCCUGCUAAUCUUGAGAAUCUUGAAAGUUUGGUGGAUAAGCUCGAGACAUUAAUGAUUGCAUUCCGAAAAGGCUCACCAACAGGCCUUCAGAGUCUGAAGUCUUUGCCACUAAACCUCAACAUCAAGAAAUUGAAACUGAAGAGAACUUGUUUGCCGUGGAGUGAAAUAAACUUAAUUGGCAUGUUGCCCAAUCUUGAAGUACUGAAACUGAAAGAAGUUUCUGAUGGUCCAGAUUGGGAACCCACAGAGGGAAACUUCAGUAAGCUAAAAUUCUUGUACCUUGAAGCUGAAAAACUUGAAAGUUGGGAGGUCGAUGGAGGGGAUCAGUUUCGUUGCCUUAAGCACCUAGUCCUUAAAAAGUGUACAAAAUUGAAAGCUAUUCCAACUGGCUUUGAAGAUGUAAACACACUGGAGUCAAUUGAGUUACUAAAUUGCCCCCUCCCUGUUAAGGAAUCUGCCCGAGAAAUUAGUGAUAACCGGGAGACUUAUGGAAGCAAACCCAUCAAUAUUCGCCAUGUGGACCAAAUACAAGAAGUUGAUGAUGAUGAAGAUGCUGAUGAUUCUUCCGAAUAAAGGUAUUGAAUGGGUUACAAGGUAGGCUUCGGCUGGAGCGCACAUUCGGAUAGCGUUUGUGGGCUUUCCGGAUGUUUGAAGUGUAUUCUUUCCUCAGGGUUAGCAAGGAUUUGCAGUGUGCCCAAUUCCUAGGAGUCUGCUUCUGGUGAUUCAUACAUUUUGAAGUUUGCUUUUUAGUUAUCAUUGAAAUACUGAAUUCAUAAAGCUUUACUUUGUGUUGAUUAGAAUGAUGAUUGCACUUUGUAUAAUAUAAUGGUGUAAACUAUUGAGUUUAUUUAAUAAGAAUGCUUUAUCAACUUCAUAA